rnacentral:rRNA from 1 species
GUUCCUACGGGAGGCAGCAGUGAGGAAUAUUGGUCAAUGGCCGCAGGGCUGAACCAGCCAAGUCGCGUGAGGGAUGACGGUCCUAUGGAUUGUAAACCUCUUUUGUCAGGGAGCAAAGGGCGCCACGUGUGGCGCUUUGCGAGUACCUGAAGAAAAAGCAUCGGCUAACUCCGUGCCAGCAGCCGCGGUAAUACGGAGGAUGCGAGCGUUAUCCGGAUUUAUUGGGUUUAAAGGGUGCGCAGGCGGAGGUGCAAGUCAGUGGUCAAAUUGCGGUGGUCAACCCCGUAGUGGUGUUGAAAGUGCAU